rnacentral:rRNA from 1 species
UACGUAGGGCGCAAGCGUUGUCCGGAAUUAUUGGGCGUAAAGAGCUCGUAGGCGGUUUGUCGCGUCUGUCGUGAAAGCCCACGGCUUAACUGUGGGUCUGCGGUGGAUACGGGCAGACUAGAGGCAGGUAGGGGAGAAUGGAAUUCCCGGUGUAGCGGUGAAAUGCGCAGAUAUCGGGAGGAACACCGGUGGCGAAGGCGGGUCUCUGGGCAGUAACUGACGCUGAGGCACGAAGGCCAGGGGAGCAAACGGG